GAUGAACGCUGGCGGCGUGCUUAACACAUGCAAGUCGAACGGAAAGGCCCAAGCUUGCUUGGGUACUCGAGUGGCGAACGGGUGAGUAACACGUGGGUGAUCUGCCCUGCACUUCGGGAUAAGCCUGGGAAACUGGGUCUAAUACCGGAUAGGACGAUGGUUUGGAUGCCAUUGUGGAAAGUUUUUUCGGUGUGGGAUGAGCUCGCGGCCUAUCAGCUUGUUGGUGGGGUAAUGGCCUACCAAGGCGUCGACGGGUAGCCGGCCUGAGAGGGUGUACGGCCACAUUGGGACUGAGAUACGGCCCAGACUCCUACGGGAGGCAGCAGUGGGGAAUAUUGCACAAUGGGCGCAAGCCUGAUGCAGCGACGCCGCGUGGGGGAUGACGGCCUUCGGGUUGUAAACUCCUUUCGCUAGGGACGAAGCGCAAGUGACGGUACCUGGAGAAGAAGCACCGGCUAACUACGUGCCAGCCGCCGCCGUAACAC
rnacentral:rRNA from 1 species